UGCGUAGGCGGACUAAUAAGUCAGUGGUGAAAUCUUUCGGCUCAACCGAGAAACUGCCAUUGAUACUGUUAGUCUUGAGUUCGGUUGAGGUAGGCGGAAUGUGUAAUGUAGCGGUGAAAUGCUUAGAUAUUACACAGAACACCAAUUGCGUAGGCAGCUUACUAGACCGACACUGACGCUGAGGCACGAAAGCGUGGGGAGCGAACAGGAUUAAUACCCUGGUAGUCC
rnacentral:rRNA from 1 species